AGGAAGUUAAAAUCAUCAUCUUCAGUUUUGAAAGACUUAGAGAAUGAUAAAUUUUUUGUAAGUUUUUCUUUUUUUAAGAAGAAGGGCCUAUAGCUCAGUUGGUUAGAGCACACGCCUGAUAAGCGUGAGGUCGGUGGUUCAAGUCCAUUUAGGCCCACCAAUCUAAUAUAUGGCACCUUCUUAAAAAAAAGUUCUUUGAAAAGUAGAUAAAUAAGGCAACGAAUUAAAAAGCGAAGGAAAUAAG
rnacentral:misc_RNA from 1 species